GGAAAGGGGGGCGUGCUUACCAUGCAAGUCGUACGAGAACGCUUCAGCUUGCUGAAGCAAGUAAAGUGGCGUACGGGUGAGUAACGCGUGGGUAAUCUACUUCCGAAUCGGGGAUAACAUUGCGAAAGCGAUGCUAAUACCGGAUGAUAUUCGUUGGAUUUCGAUCUUUUGAAUCAAAGGUGGCCUCUCCUUGGAAGCUACUGUUUGGAGAUGAGCCCGCGUACCAUUAGCUUGUUGGUGGGGUAAUGGCCCACCAAGGCCGCGAUGGUUAGCUGGUCUGAGAGGAUGAUCAGCCACACUGGAACUGACACACGGUCCAGACUCCUACGGGAGGCAGCAGUGAGGAAUUUUGCGCAAUGGGGGAAACCCUGACGCAGCAACGCCGCGUGAGUGAUGAAAGCUUUCGGAUCGUAAAGCUCUGUCAAGUGGGAAGAACCCACAUGGUGCUAAUAUCGCCAUGUGCUGACGGUACCACUGAAGGAAGCACCGGCUAACUCCGUGCCAGCAGCCGCGGUAAUACGGAGGGUGCGAGCGUUAUUCGGAAUUACUGGGCGUAAAGGGCGCGCAGGCGGUUGCAUAAGUCAGAUGUGAAAGCCCGGGGCUUAACCUCGGAAGUGCAUUUGGUACUGUGUAACUUGAGUAUGGGAGAGGGAAGUGGAAUUCCUGGUGUAGAGGUGAAAUUCGUAGAUAUCAGGAGGAACACCGGUGGCGAAGGCGACUUCCUGGACCAAUACUGACGCUGAGGCGCGAAGGCGUGGGGAGCAAACAGGAUUAGAUACUCUGGUAGUCCACGCAGUAAACGGUGAUCACUAGGUGUAGCGGGUAUUGACCCCUGCUGUGCCGCAGCUAACGCAUUAAGUGAUCCGCCUGGGGAGUACGGCCGCAAGGUUAAAACUCAAGGAAUUGACGGGGGCCCGCACAGCGGUGGAGCAUGUGUUUAAUUCGACGCACGCGCAGACUUUACCUGGGUUUGACAUCUCGGGGAUCUCUAUGAAAUAGAGAGUGCCCUCGGGGAGCCCGAUGACAGUGCUGCAUGCUGUCGUCAGCUCUGUCGUGGAUGUUGGUAGUUCCGCAACGAGCGCAACCCCUAUCUUUAGUGCAGCACUUCGGUGGAACUCUAAGAUACUUGCUGUCACGGAGAUAAGAUGGAGACUCAGUCUAUGCCUAUGUCAGGCAUUACACUGGCGUCAAAUG
rnacentral:rRNA from 1 species